ACGCUCGACACCUACGGGAGACAGCAGUGGGGAAUAUUGCACAAUGGGGGAAACCCUGAUGCAGCGACGCCGCGUGAGCGAAGAAGUAUUUCGGUAUGUAAAGCUCUAUCAGCAGGGAAGAAGAAAGACGGUACCUGACUAAGAAGCCCCGGCUAACUACGUGCCAACAGCCGCGGUAAUCUGAGCGGGCUGGCAAGGC
rnacentral:rRNA from 1 species